rnacentral:rRNA from 1 species
UACGUAGGUGGCAAGCGUUUGUCCGGAAUUAUUGGGCGUAAAGCGCGCGCAGGCGGUCCUUUAAGUCUGAUGUGAAAGCCCACGGCUCAACCGUGGAGGGUCAUUGGAAACUGGGGGGACUUGAGUGCAGAAGAGGAAAGCGGAAUUCCACGUGUAGCGGUGAAAUGCGUAGAGAUGUGGAGGAACACCAGUGGCGAAGGCGGCUUUCUGGUCUGUAACUGACGCUGAGGCGCGAAAAGCGUGGGGGAGCAAAACAGG